rnacentral:rRNA from 1 species
AUUGAACGCUGGCGGCAGGCUUAACACAUGCAAGUCGAGCGGGGUGAUGGUGCUUGCACUAUCACUUAGCGGCGGACGGGUGAGUAAUGCUUAGGCAUCUGCCUAUUAGUGGGGGACAACAUCUCGAUAGGGAUGCUAAUACCGCAUACGUCCUACGGGAGAAAGCAGGGGAUCACUUGUGACCUUGCGCUAAUAGAUGAGCAUAAGUCGGAUUAGCUAGUUGGUGGGGUAAAGGCCUACCAAGGCGACGAUCUGUAGCGGGUCUGAGAGGAUGAUCCGCCACACUGGGACUGAGACACGGCCCAGACUCCUACGGGAGGCAGCAGUGGGGAAUAUUGGACAAUGGGGGGAACCCUGAUCCAGCCAUGCCGCGUGUGUGAAGAAGGCCUUAUGGUUGUAAAGCACUUUAAGCGAGGAGGAGGCUCUUUUGGUUAAUGCCCAAGAUGAGUGGACGUUACUCGCAGAAUAAGCACCGGCUAACUCUGUGCCAGCAGCCGCGGUAA